AGAGGAAGUAAAAAGUCGUAACCAAGGUUUYCCGUAGGUGAAAGGUUUGCCUGCGGGAUUCCCCGCAGCGACUCUAAAGAAAAUGCUGUAGUCUGCUCAAUGAAUUAGCUGGCAACGCUAUUAGUCUGCGCUGAGAGCUCCUUUUGUAGGGGUAACCAGCAGCCUUAGGAAAUUCCCUAGGGUUCACAGGUCAAACAAUGGCGGCCACAACCCGUGGUUUAGAUAUGAUCGGCCCCAACCGUUAAGCGGAUGGCGAACUUGUUGCGGAACCUGCGGAAGGAUCAUUA
rnacentral:rRNA from 1 species